AUACAAUGAAGAGUUUGAUCCUGGCUCAGGAUGAACGCUAGCGGCAGGCCUAACACAUGCAAGUCGAGGGGUAGGGGGUGCUUGCACCCCUGAGACC
rnacentral:rRNA from 1 species